GGCUGGGAGGGACGACAUAGCACCAGACGUCAGGCACCAAGGCAGUGUUCAAAGGGUGGCAUAAACUGCUGCUUUAUUUAAUGUAUUUUCGCAGAACAAGACAGUGACAGGGGCCGUGGCUGCCUGCCUGCGUGUGCUGGUGCAAGCUUAGUGCCUGCCGGGAGGUGCCUACAGGGCCACCAAUGCUAGUAUUGGUAAGAAACCCGCUCACCACUUGUCCAGCCAGAUACGAAUGUAGAGGGACAAAAAAGAAAAGCAGGAAGACCACCACCACCACCACCAGCACAGUGGAAAUAAGAGCAAUGGCAACCCUCUGAUCUGGCAAGCAAGUUGGUGGCAGCGAUGGCGGUGGCGGUGGCAGUGGUGGUGAGGUGGACAGCAGGGACAGAGGGGCACUACAGGCUGCGGACAUCAAGGAGAAGAAGAACGCACGGACAAGCAAGGUGGUAUUCGGCAGUCUGAUCCUGGACCCGCUCGGCUUCACGGUGGUGCUGCCUGUCUCCUGCUCUCCUCGACUAUUACUCCGAGCACGACUCCAGUGGCUUGUAUUCCUCUCUGCUCUCCUCUGUUACUUAUUACCAGCAUAUCAUCGGCAUCCCUGCGAGGUUCCAUUCUGUCUUGUUUUGGUGGCACUGAUCGCCGUGGCAUUCAGCAUAGGCUUCACCAUCUGGCCAACUGUGCGGGCUGUGUUCUCCCGCUGGGGAAGUACUGGGUUGUUUGUGGCCUCGGCUGUCUGCGCACUCACUCUUGCUGUGGCUAACAUAAUAUUCUUUGCUGUCUUCUUCCAGGAAUCGCUGCCUGAGGAUUCUGGGUAAUGGGGGCAGAAGUGUGCUAUAUUGUGGGCGGCCUAUCCAUGCUGCUGCUGCUAGUGAUGCUGCAGGCCUACUGAGCUCCCUGCCACGCCCUCAGCCUGUGCAUAUUAGCCAGGUUAAGGUGGAAGGAUGUUUGGCUGACGUUGGGCUAUUUUCUUUGGUGUUUUGGGCUAGUUUGGGCUGUUUUUUCAUGUCGUUCUUUUUUGGGGGGGCUAUUUUUAUCUAUUUUUGUUCUUUUAUUUUUCAUGGUUCCAGUGACAGUUUAAGAGGCUGUAGUGGAAGUUAUUGCGGUUUUCAAGGGUGUUUUUAUGGUUCUAAAAUUUAACAGACUAUAGUGGAAGUUAUUAGGGUUUUCAAGGGUGUUUUCAUGGUUCCAGUGAUAGUCUAAGAGGCUGUAGUGGAAGUUACUGGGGUUUUCAAGGGUGUUUUCAUGAUUCCAGUGUUAGUUUAAGAGGUUUAACAGGCCAUAGUGGAAGUUACUGGGAUUUUCAAGGGUGUUUUCAUGAUUCCAGUGAUAGUUUAAGAGGUUUAACAGGCUGUAGUGGAAGUUACUGGGGUUUUCAAGGGUGUUUUCAUGAUUCCAAUGAGUUUAAAAGGCUGUAUACACUUAAUUAGAAAGAAAAAUAGUGUUUAUUACCAUGAUUAGAGAGAGAGAGAGAGAAAAAAAAAAAAGUGCAUUAAUCUUUAGUAAACAAACAAGCAAAUCCUGUUACCUGUAUAUUAAGUAAACAUUCCAUUAGUGUUUAAGAAUAAAUUAUAUUACCAUAACUGAUAAAAUGUGCAGUAUUAGUAUGGCUGUAUUCCCAAACACGCCCACACCCGGUUGUCUGACUGAAUAUUUAAUAAAAAAAAGUUAUUGGGGUUUUCAAGGACGUUUUUCAGGAAGCUAUUGGGGUUUUCAAGGGUGUUUUUCAUGUUUUUAAUGUUAAACAGGCUGUAGUGGAAGUUACUGGGGUUUUCAAGGAUGUUUUUCAUGAUUCUACAGUUUAACUGGCUGUAAUGGAAGUUACUGGGGUUUUCAAGGGUGUUUUUCAUGAUUCCGGUGAUAGUUUAACAAUUACUCUGCCUCACCAGUGGAAAAAAAAAUGCCUUUAAUAGCCUGACCAACUGUGUGUGGCCUUGCAGAACAGAAAGAGAGAGAGAGAGAGAGAGGUGGGUGUUGUUUGGGAGUGCUAACCAAGAAAUGAUCUUAGUAAUGACAAAUACAUAAUCAUGUAUAUGUAUAUUUUUUUUGUGUGUGCCUUUCCCCUGUUGUAUUUCCGUUUAUUCGAGAUGGGCAGGAGAAAUUCUUUACCCUCGUCUGCAAACUCUUCUCAGGAUGUAAUCUCACCUUACGUUAAUAAAAUGUUGAUUAUUA